rnacentral:tRNA from 1 species
GGUCCCGUAGCUCAGCUGGAUAGAGCAUCCCGCCCGCUGGGCGGGAAGGCCGUUGGUUCGAGUCCAAAAGGGGCGC